CUUAUCGCUUUGGAUGAAAUCACACCGCUGAAAUGGUUGUGAUCAGGUGAUUAUCACAAUGGCCACCCUAAAACCCAGUUUCCUAUUCCGAACUAUAUAAACCACACUUAUAUCCUCUUUGUAAUAACUCUCUCCUGCGAACAAGCUUUUCCUUGCUCUUCAAGAAUCUCGUGCUUUCACUCUCCUUCUCUCUCUAGGGUUUUCUCUCCAAAACCCUACUCCUCCCCCUUUAUCUCUCUCUAUAUUACAUAUCUCAUUCCCUGUAAUUCGCAUCUUCUAGUGUUUUCAGAGUACCAUAGGGAAAAAUGGGGUUCCGCAGAGGUGAUCAAGUUGAAGUUGCGAGUAAAGAGGAAGGGUUUCUUGGUUCGUACUACGCUGCGACAGUGAUUGUAGAGAUUCUCAAGAAGGAAUACAUUGUGCAGUACAAGACCCUGUUGAAAGAAGAUAUGUCCGGACCCUUGAGAGAGAUUGUCACCGCCGGCGAGGUCCGUCCUUGUCCACCUCAAAUUCCGGCGACUUCCUUUGGUUUGUACGACACGGUCGAUGCUUUUGACAACGAUGGUUGGUGGGUCGGAAAGAUUGCUGGCAAAGUUGGGUUGGAGUACUUGGUUUAUUUUGAGACUACAGGGGAUCAGAUCGCUUACCCAAUGAGUCGGCUGAGAGUUCAUCAGGAAUGGCUGAAUGGCAAGUGGAUUUCUACCAAUAGGAGGUUCUGUAGUAGUGAUGGGUCAACAGAAGAUUGGUAGAGUAAGAAUGCCCAAAGAGGAGGAUUGACGAAUAUGGAUGGAGCAGCAGCAGCAUAACAUAGACAUGGGAUCAUCUAUCUCAUAUGGGGCUUUACAUUAAAAGGCAAUUCGUUUAUAGAAUUCAGUGGAGGAUCGUCUUUCCAGUCAGAGAUUUCCACAACUUCAUCUCCAUGUAAGCAUACUAAAAUUUUUGUGCUCAUUAGUGUGUCUUCAUAUGUGCACAAUGUUGAAUCUAUUCGCAUGAGUGUCUUCAUAUGUGCCCAAUGUUAAGUCUUUGUGUGUGCAUGGGAAAGUUAGUCACUGUUCUGCAUAAUGUUGAAUCUAUUCACAUGAGUGUCUUCAUGUCGUGUGCUGAAAGUAUUAGUUAAAGGAUUCUGGAUCAUUCCAUUAUUUGUAAUGCCCUCUUAUUUAUAUUAAUAUGUAGAUCGAGUUAUUUCUAUAAUAAUAAAAACACUAAAGCAAAAGGGGCUAUGUUUGAUUUAAUGCAUCUUUUAGUUUCUUUCCCUUGAAAGGGGGAUAUCUGAGAUCAAAGAGGUUAAAUAUAAAAAUAUGACUCAUUUGACGGAGAAGAUCAUGGAACCAAUCCCAUAGAUCUAAAUUAAUACGAAUCUUUAGCCUAAGUGCUUCGGAAUUUUUUUUUUUCCGUUGAUUUUGCUAUAGGUUCUUAAAAUAGAGGCAUGUAGGGUUCUGUGCUGUUUAUUGAUUGUCUAUAACUUUUUUUUCCUUUUUUUUUUGUUCAAGAUGCAUUGUCCGGUUGUCAUUAUUGUUGAGGCCAUCCUACCACUCAGUCUCAGUUAGAAGGAAGAGAUUAGAAUAGUGGUGGGUGGGAAGACAGACCUCGAAUCCUUGUGUUCUACUGUCUUAACUUUCCAGACAUUGAUAAUUUGUAAGCAGCCUUAGGAUUGGCCCCAUGUUUUCCUUAGUUUGUAGUGGAAUUAGGAUGUAAAAUGUUGCCUUAAUGUAUAACAUGAAACUCUCGCUGUCCUAAGUUUGUAUAUAAGGUGGAACAUCUCGCGCUCAAUGUAGUUGUGGGACAUAUGAUCUUCUGGGACCUUGGCAAUUCAUCCUCUUUUAGGUUGAUUAGACACGUGAAAUCUGUGUUGAACUUUUAGCCCUGUUUACUACAAUAAUUUUGGUUGAUGCAACUUGUUUUGACUACCAUGCCUCUGUUUUUAUUUUUUACCUUCGGUUGAUUAGACUUGAAUUCCAUGUAGAACUUUUAGCCCCGUUUACCACAGUAAUCUUGGUUGAUGUAACUUGUUUUGAUGACUAUGCCUCUGUUUUUUAUUUUAUUUAUUAUUUAAAUCGAAAUUAUACCUGUGUUUAUAUUGUUUAAAAUGAGAUUAUGUAUAUGUAAUGAUAGUUGUAGUGACAAGCAUAUAUAAUAACAUUCACCUGCUUUGCAAAAACAAAUAUUAUAUUACAUGUUAAAGAAGCUAUAGCUAACGUGUGGAUAGGACUAGGAUGCACAUAAUGUAUUUGAUCCCAGGUCCUAAAAUUUGCUGGGCUACUUUGUAGGUUUUUGUGCGAGAAUAAUAGGAUUAGAGAGGAAAACAACAUGGGGAGUCUAUUUGGUUUAAUUUAUGGGCAAGGAUUUGGUCCAAAGCCGAAGAGAUGAGUGAUUUUAAAUACUCGUAGGGAAGCAUCUUAUAUCCAAUUUUGGGCUUAAAAUUCCAGCUCCUGAAAACCAGGAUUCAGAUUAGCUAUGUUAGUACCAAGUUUCUUUUGUAUUAAUUUGUACAUGUAUCUAUAUUUGCUGGUAGUACCGCUUUCGAUUGGGCUUGAAAAUUUCAAUGAAGAGAAUUCGCUCAAUCUAUUGUGUAGAGUGAGAUGUGAAUUUCAUGGUAGCAGAUCCCUCUUUGGUCUGCAAUUAAAAGUGUAAUGGACCCUUUAGAACUUGAUGACCAAGUGAAGACAAUGUAUAAGAUGGCAUGAUACACACAGAAUACCGUGUCAAGUUCUAAAGAAAAU